CCAGCCUGACCAAUUCAACAAACACAUUUUGUUUUUUUGAUUUUACUGACCAGCCUCCGGUUUGGGAGGGUGAUGUUCAGCAGGAGCACGGUGCUCGAUAUGUGUUUGUUGAAUGAAUCGAUCCUCAUUAUGACCUUACAGGGCUGGGGUGAUCAUCCUUAUUUUACUGACCAGGAAAUCCCACUCCCAGAGAGGCUGCGCUUCAGGGCCAGGGUGACACGAGGAGAGGGCGCAGGGUGAAGUCCGGAGCUCAGGGCUUCUUGACUCUAAGCCCUAAACCUCCACCUCCACCAGGCCCAGGACUGGGACAUGGGGCUGACUCAGUCUGGGGUGUCAUUGGCAACCAGGAUGUUGCUGAGCAUGGCAGGAGUGAAGGCAGGACCCAGAUGCACGGAGGUGCAAUUGGGCCUCAGCUAAUCUUCAUUGUGCCGCAAGGAUCCAAGCUGCUCUGUCUUUCGCUUAGAGCUCUCUCGAAUAUUUGAAGUCAGUUUUCUUGUAGCUUUUCUAGAAUUGUCUUUUAUCCAGGUUAAGCAUCUCCUGUUCCUCCCAUAACAUAAGUCUUUGGGAAAGACACCAGUUCUCUACAAUGCUUCCAGAAUGUGGGACCCAGAGCUCCUUCUGGCACUAAGGUUAACUGCCCCAUGGACAGCUGAGUGGAUUUGUCACCUCCCUACUCCAUGAUCUGUAUCAGUGUGGCCAAGAUUGCUUUCAAGCCACCCCAUGGACAUCUGAUUGAAACCCUCAGUCUGGUUCCCGUGGCUGUCAGGCUCCCUUGCUCCCAGCACCUCCUUGCUCUGAUCUUGGACAUGAACUGUUGGCUUUCUUGGAUAGUGCAGGAUUCUUCAUCUGUCCCUGUUGCCUUUUGUUUUUACCUCUCUGGGAGUCCAGCUCGCCUCCUUCAGUAGUUACCCCACUUUCUCUUUUGCACGUGUGAAGAGCUGCUUCUAGGUACCUUGAAUCAGGUGCCACUGAGAACAUGGAACAGGACCAGGGUGAUUGUGUGUCACGAAGAGGUACAACAGGGAAGAGGGCAAUCAUGGUCCCUGCCUUAGUGGAUCUUACGGGAUCUUGGAGGCACAGAUAACAAACACCGGAAUCUGAAAAUUAUCCUUUGAGGAAGGCUGAGCAAGGAUUAAUUCCCCUAUUUUACAGCAAACAGAACGUGAGCCCCCCAAGGACGGAGCAACUCCUGGACCCCACUGGAUCAACAAGGCUCGUUCUUCUGGAUCUCAGAUGCCAUGGCGCAUUCUUUCAAAGGACGGUUAUAGAAACAAGCAGAUCAUUUCCCCAAAAAGGCCCACCGAUGGAAAAGUACGUCACUUAGGAGGUCCUGCUAUGAUCCUGCUAUGUUACCUAAGCUGGUCUUGAACUCCUGGCCUCAAGCCAUCCUCCUGCCUCAGCCUCCCAAAGUGCCAAGAUUACAGGCAUGAGCCACUGCACACCCAGCAUGCCAUGUGACAUCUGAGGCUAGUUUAUAAGAAUGUUGUGAGCUUCCACCGGGCUUUCAUGGACAGGAUGCUAACUCUUGGAACUCAGCCACCAUGUUGUGAGGAAGUCCAAGUCAUCCCACAUGGAGAGGCGUGUGAAGGUGCUCUAGCUCACAGCCCAGCUGAGGUCCCGGCUGACAGCCUGCAUCAGCUGCCAGGCAUGAGUGAAGAUGCUUCCAGAUGAUUCUAGCUCCCUCUCAUCAGAUCACUCUCAACUUGGAUUCUUCCCAGCAGAGGCUCCAGAAAUCAUAGAGCAGAGAUCACCUCUUCCUGCUCUGCUUUGUCCAAGUUAUGGGCUGUAAAAUCUAUGAGCAUGAUAACAUGAUUGUUUUACGCCAGAAAGUUUUGGGGGUGGUUUGUGACAUAGCAACUGGUACAGAAAUUAUUUGCUAACAAGCAGGCAUCUCUCUCAAGGGGGAAAGUCUUAUGGUCAUUUUUGCACCCUUUUCUGGGGCAAAUAUGAUUGGUAGGGACGAUGCCCAUCAUAGCACCAUUGCUUCAUCAGAGGCCGUUUGGAUCAGUGAGCCUUUCCAUGUUCUUUAGUCACAAUAUGUUAAUAUAUUUUACUAGUCCAUUUCCUACCGACUAGAAUAUCAGUUCCCUAUGAUAGGUUUUUCCCCCAUUUUGUUUGUUCCUAUAUCCCCAAAACCCAAACUAGUACAGGUGCUCCUCAACUUAUGAUGCAGUUACCUCCCAAUAAACCCACCAUAAAGUUGAAAAAUCCUAAGUUGAACCAUCUUAAGUUGAGGACCAUUUGUGCUUGGUAAUCGCUCAAUAAAUAAUUGUCAGAUGAAUGGUUACAAAACAAGCAUCAAGUGGGCAAACGUUUUGAUAAUGAUUCCUGGAGAGAAUUUUGCUAAUAUUGCCAUGUUCUAGUUGUUAUGAUAAUGUGAAAUUGCUUUCUGGGUAAGGACAAGUUCACAUUGUGGUGGGAAUUUCUGGAGAAUAAUAGUUAAAUGUUCCCACUUUUUCUUGAAAUAGAGAACACAAAAGAAUCAUUAGGAAAGGUAUGAUGAGUAUUAGGGGCACGUCAGGUCCGUACUUAGGAGUUUGUUCAAGGAGUGAUUCGAGUCAACCUUCCUUUGUUGCCUGGCAUAUGCUGGCUAUCAUAGGGACCACAAAAAUGUGGAAGAUGUAGAUGCUGUCCUCAAACUGUGUUGAGUCCAGCUGGGGAGAGAUAAGAUUGGAAUCUAUAUACAGAUAGUCCAAUAAGGCAAGCUAGGUCCAGUGGUGAAACUGAUAGGGUUUCACCAGCUGAGGCCCCCAAGGGUGAGAGAAUGUCAAAGAAGACUUCCUGGAGGAGGCAAGUUAAAGGAAAUUAAUGGGUUGGGCAGGUGGGCAGCUUCCUGAUACACUAAUCAGAGGAACACUGAAACCACAGGGAUCCAUCAGAAAUCUGCCGCCUGUUAACUCAGGUUUCCACCUGCAGAUUCUCACGUAGCUGGUGGAAAUGAAACUGACGUCCCUUUUGCCAAAAUAGACAAUGCCCCUAAGUAGAAAGAAAAGUUACUCCUCCCCAGCACCAGCCUACCUCUGUGUGGGUAUUUCUGCAAUGUGCAUUGCAAGUUGCUGCAUCCACUGGCCAGCCUGGCUGUGAGAUCAGCCAGCUGGCUGCCCCGGCAGUGGACAUGGCUGGGCCAAGAAGAUAUCUGCAAGCCUUAAAAAAUAUCUCCUAAAAAGUUGUCCACCUGUAGUCCCAGCUACUGGGGAGGCUGAGAUUGGAGGAUUGCUUGAGCCUACAAGUUUGAGGCUGUGGUGAGCUAUGAUUGCAUCACUGCACACCAGCCUGGGCAAGCAAGUGAGACACUGUCGCUGUAACCGCAAACGC